AACUACUCACUUACUUACAUUUUGUUGAUUAUGUGACCGUCGUCACGCUGAAUUCCAGUGGAGUAGGCCAUCAUUGCGUCAUCCGAGAGAAACCUGGAAAAAAACAGAGAAAUAUCAUUAAUACACGAGGGAAUCGGCCAGUUUUGUUAUUUUAGAAAUCUAGAAUCUGGAUUUUUUCAAUUCAUGAAGAUGGCGAGCCAACCGUAAAUCGAUCAGAAACAACUAUCCUUUGUCUUUUUGGACAUCUGUAUCACUUCACUUUCGGCAGGACAUCGCGUCGGAUUUUUUUCUUUUGAGGUUUGAAACAUCUGACAUUUUCAUUUUUCCUUUUGAGCAUUGGAUCACUGAUUUAAAGGAACUGAGGAGACAAUAUCAUUCUUUAUUGUUCAGACUGACAUUUUGUUUGAACUGUGCAUUCAAGAAUUUCUGAUACUGCAUUGAUACGCAUUCAUUUAGACUUUGUUUCGUAUAAACAAGUGUUUACAGUGGACAUUUGUACGUGUGACUAAACACAAGUCCUGACAUUCGUGUUUAUUUUAUAUUUACUGAUCUUGAGUAUACAUUUGAGUUGUGUACAUAAAAAAGGAGAUCAGAAAUUGAAUGUUUAUUACAAUUUAAUUUGCAUUGGAGAGAAGAAUUUUCUAUGUCAAGGGUUAAAUUUCAAAUUCAUUUAGCUUAAUUGGUAAAAGUAAUAUUUAAAGCAGAUUUAAUAUUUCUUUUUUUGGUUUUAUUUUUAUUUUUUGUUUGUUCUUGUUAUUUUUGCCCUUUAUGCAGUGUCAUUGAUAUUUUUUUUUCCCAACCAGUGUAUCCUAUCAAUCGCGCUUACAAGUCAAUUUUAUCCAAUAUAAAGGUGCGCAUUUACAUCUA